ensembl:lncRNA
UUUGGAGUAACCAAAGAUCUUUUUUUAAAGGGAAGAUGUUGUUGUUUGAUAUUAUCAAAAUUUUGGAUCUAAUUUCAAGUAUGCAGUUUUAGAGCUGCUGGUUGUGUGGGGGUAUAGCUCAGGGAUGGAGCAUUUGACUGCAGAUCAAGAGGUCCUCAGUUCAAAUCUGGGUGCCCCCUUUGGUCUUGGCAGAUUUGGAGUAACCAAAGAUCUUUUUUUUUUAAAGGGAAGAUGUUGUUGUUUGAUAUUAUCAAAAUUUUGGAUCUAAUUUCACGUAUGCAGUUUAGAGCUGCUGGUUGUGUGGGGGUAUAGCUCAGGGAUGGAGCAUUUGACUGCAGAUCAAGAGGUCCCCAAUUCAAAUCUGAUUGCCCGCUUAGGACUUGGCAGAUUUUGAGUCACAAUAGAACUUUAGAACUUUAAAGGGAAGAUGUUGUUGUUUGAUAGUCUCAAAAUUUUGGAUCUAAUUUCAUGUAUGGAGUUUUGAGCUGCUUGAUGUGUGGGGGUAUAGCUCAGUGGUAGAGCAUUUGACUGCAGAUCAAGAGGUCCCCAGUUCAAAUCUGGGUGCCCCCUUUGUACUUGGCAGAUUUGGAGUCACGAAAUAGUUUAUUUUGAAGGUGUUGUUGUUUGAUAUUCUCAAAAAUUUUUGGAUCUAAUUUCAUGUAUGCAGUGUUUUUAGCUGCUUGAUACGUGGGGGUAUAGCUCAGUGGUAGAGCAUUUGACUGCAGAUCAAGAGGUCCCCAGUUCAAAUCUGGGUGCCCCCUAAGGACCUGACAGAUUUGGAGUAAAAAAGUGAUUUAUUUUAAAGGGAAGAAGUUGUUGUUUGAGAAACACAAAAUUUAGGAUGUAAUUUACUGUGUCCGGUUUUGAGGUAUUGCUUCUCUAUGGUAUAGCUCAGUAUAGAGCAUUUGACUCCAGAUUAAGAGGUCCCCAGUUCAAAUCUGGGUUCCCCCUUUGGUCUUGGCAGAUUUGGAGUAAGCAAAGAUUUCAUUUUAAAGGGAAGAUGUUGUUGU